UACAGGGGGGGGCAAGCGUUUGUUCGGAAUUACUGGGCGUAAAGGGCCAGUAGGCGGCCAACUAAGUCCGACGUGAAAUCCCCAGGCUUAACCUGGGAACUGCGUCGGAUACUGGAUGGCUUGAAUUCGGGAGAGGGAUGCAGAAUUCCAGGUGUAGCGGUGAAAUGCGUAGAUAUCAGGAGGAACACCGGUGGCGAAGGCGCUCAUCUGGCCCGAUACUGACGCUGAGGCGCGAAAGCUAGGGUAGCGAACGGG
rnacentral:rRNA from 1 species